ensembl:lncRNA
ACCUUACAGAAGAAUGUAUGCGCUUACUUGAAACCUGCAUUUUGUGUAAGGUAGUAGUUCACUUGGGGGAAAUAAACAGGGUGCCUGAAUUUUACGAAAUAAAGCAGUUCAGUUUAGUGUCUUUAUUAGGACAUUUACCCUUUGUAUUAUGAAAGGAACUGAUGCCAUUGCAAGAUACCACCUCUUUGCUACCACAGAAAGAUCUCAGAGUGAGAACACCUUCUUCUAUGAUGAGCUGUGCACACAAAAAGGGCAAGAAAUGAAAUCUGGAACGUUUUGCUCUCUUCAUAAAGAACCUACUCCAGACUAACAGGCAAGAAUACUGGUGAGGACUGCCAUUUCCUUCUCCAGGGGAUCUUCCCGAUCCAGGGAUUGAACUUGCAUCUCCUGCAUUUGCCGGUGGAUUCUUUAGCACUGAGCCGCCAGAUUCUGCCAAAUUUACCUUAUGUGGGUCCUAAUGCAGUGACUAGAGUCCCUCUAAGAAGAGGGAAAUUUGGACUGAUACACAGGAAGAAUGCCAUGUGACUCCAGAGGUAGAGACUGGAGUGAUAUAUCUACAAGACAAGGAAUCCCAAGGACUGGAAGCACUAGAAGUCAGGGAGAGGGAAGGAAGAAUAACUCUCGAGAGCCUCUGGAGAGAGCCUGGCUCUGACAACAUCUUGAUUUUGGACUUCCAGCUUCUAGAAUUGUGAGACGAUAAAUAUCCGUUGCUUUGAAUCACUUAAAUUGGUAGUAUUAUGUUAUGGCAGUCCUAGUAAACUAAUACAAUGGUCAUUAUUUCUGGACAGAAUUGUGUUGUCGUCCAAUGCCCAAAAGAGAACAUCUUAGGCACUAGUAAUAGAUUGUGUUCUCCAUUUUAUUUCUAUGUAAGCGAGACCAUAAAAGAUGUGUGUUGGUUAAUAAUGAGACUAAAAUGUUGAAUUCUGACACACAUAAAUGUCAAUUACAACAGAAAUUUGGAGGUAAGGAAGUUUCAAGGAAAACAUUUACUUUACAAGUAAAUGUCAAAAGAACUUCAAUAUUCAAACUAUAAAAAUAUAUUAGAAAAUAUCUGUAAAUUUAGGUCAGGAAUAUAUGUGAUCCCUAGAAAUAAAGGUUAAUUGUCAUAAUUUUAAAAAGGGAAUAUUGUAAGUUCUAAUGCUAAUAAGGAUUUUGUACACAAUGUGACAAAGAGAGUUUGUCUGUUAUUUGUAGCUCUGUAUUGACAUUUUCAAAAUCACUGAAGCCGAGCUUUACUUUCAAUUGACUGUUUUAAAAGAUUAUUAUAUUUUUUCACUGAAUCAUUAAGGUCUAAAAAGCUGCCAUGGGCCAUUCUUUAAUUACAUGUAAUAAAUGCAAUUCUACUGUUACAGAAGUGAAUAUCUGCACUGUCUUAUGACUGACAAUGUCAAUAUUUGAAUGACCCUCAUUACUUCUGAAAGAUUGAUGUUGUUGGGAUUGUAAAGACACCAAUAUAAAGAAGCAACACUCUCUUACUGGUUACUAG